ACAGAACUGUUUGCUCGUAGAGGGGGGUGGGUGGCACUCUGAAGGCUAUCCAGCACGAUCCGGCCCUUUCCCUUGGCAAUUCUGUGACACUUUCCAAUCUAAGGCCGACAGAGCAAGGCAACCAGAUUUUUUUCUACAGCACCCUCCCAGGUGAGCAGUGGGCCUGGAGCCCUUCUGUAACCUGGCAUCUGUAGGUCUUCUCAUUAAGAACGAGAGUCAGAAGAGGAAAGGACUUAACACUCAUUACAACUCAGUCAUGGGGCUCUGAAGCGUCCCGAGGUCCCCUCUUUCCCACCCUACCUGUCGGCUGCGCGGCUCCACCACUUGCCAAACUAGGAGGAUUAAGUCGGUCUCGUCCGAGCCUAGGUCCGGCCCCAGCGCACCGGCAGUGGCCCCGAACAAAACCACCAGCGACUGAGGUUCGGGACAAGGGUCUGUGGCCGAGUCUACUGCGGGAUCUGGGCCCGGGGGUGGGGGCGGCGGCGGCGGCGGAGUCAUGGCCGCAGAGGAAGGGGGCGCUCGGCCACACACGCGGACCGACGAGGCGCACACACGUACCGACCGACAGCAGACAGACGAGCUUGGGCGGGAUCCGGUGUGUUGGGGGCGGCACCUGCGGCCGGGUGUAGUGGGAGCUGCAGAGACCCGCCCGCGGUGCCCUUUGGGGCUGGGCGGUGCGGCUGCCUAUCCCUGCCUACUCCGGCGAGUUACCUGCGGCCCGGAGAGGCCACGUGAUCAGGACGGCCCAGGGAACCCCGCGGGAGGGCCAAAACCCUGCCCAGGAGGCAAGAGCUCACUUCUGCUGAGGCGUGCGCUCGCCGGCUGGAGUCCCACCUCUUGCUGCAGUCCGGCGAGACUCCUGGGACGAAUCCAUUCUUUCUCCUACUUCCUCUCUAGCAGGCACUCUGAGUCCUCCGCAAAAGAAUGUGCAGGAUCAGAGGCCUCUUUCCAUUCUGCAAGGGUCACGCAAGACCCAUGGAAUUCAACAGGAGGCAAUCUAGGGACUAUAAAAGGUCGCGACGUCUGGCUUGAGGUUAAUGGAAGUUACAAAGGGUCAAAAGCCGACAGUGAGCGCUACCAGGCCGCCCUGUGGGCUCAGGAUAGUUUCCCACCUACUCGACUGUAAUUAGUACUCUGGCGAGAGUAAAAAGGUACUGGCGUGGGACUUAGAAUACAGGAUGCCACCGGCUGAAGAAGAACCUUGUGUGUUUGGAAAAGCGGGCUGCUUCCUAUCGGUCUUGGAUAAAAGGCAACCCAGAGCCCGGGUGCAUCCCUAACUCAUGCCCAAGGAAGGUCGUGCGGAGCCAGAGGACCUAGAAUGUAUAGUGCGCCUUCUGGGUUUGUCCACACAAUAGCGCAGGAACACAGCGACCCAAUAUAGUGAGAAGUGGCCGCAGCGCACACCCUGAGACCCUUCACCAGGCGGCCCACCCGGAGCCUGCCUACUCAGCCCCGCUACCACGAUAAGCCUGGAAUGUCAAAUAUUUGUUCUAGGAACCCAGUGAAACCUUGAGGUAAAGCCCCUCCCCUCCUCCCUCCCAUUCCGGAGCGCGCCUGCGUCAGUCCAGGCUUUCCGGUAAGGACACUCCCUUCCAACUAGUUCCUUCUCGACACCCCUGCAACCCAUCGUCCUGACUAUUUAAACUUCACAAGGUCUUCGCUACAGGCUCAGGUUCAGUGAGGCAGAGUCUUGGCUUCCCUACCCAGUUAUCCCAGAGCUACUGGUAUCGGUUUCUACCCACAACCUCCGAGCAAGGCUCCCCUUUCAACCUGUAGACCUCGCCUCCCGAUUCUCGGGAGAUCUUGCUGACUGUGGAAUCCCUGGCUGUUCCGAACCCCCUGGAAAGAAGCGGCUGUUCCCAGGUUUCUGCAAGGUAACGAAUCUGAAGAGUCAACAGAAUUGAGCGGCUCCAUUCAUUCGACUCUGGUUCUCUCAACCAGGCAUUCCCCAUAUUAAAACAAUUCCAGAACUUCAAA
rnacentral:lncRNA from 1 species